GCUUUGUUUGAACUUUGAUUAGGUGGAAGGAAUUUACCUUGGCUUGUUAUGAUAUUGAAGCAAAACAAAGCAGUGGCUUUUCCUCAAACUCUCGGCUCUCUCCCCCUCUCUCUCUGGACUUGAAUGAGGAAGAUGGAAGGUGAAAGAAAAAUUUGAAGGGUCACCAUAUAGAGGAUCGGCCGAGAAGAGGGAGAAAGAAAGAAAGAAAGGAAAGAAAAAGAAGAGUUGGGCUUGCUCCCACAUUCAUGGAAAGAUUUGGGCUCAAAAAAAAAAAUUAAAAGGUGUUGGGCUCAAUUUGUUGUAAGCCCAACUUGGCAAUUAUUUAUUGUUUAGUUAGAUUUUUAAAUAGUUAGGGCCCAAGCCAUUUUUGUAAAUAGUCAUUUGGACUCUAAUUAAAUUUGAGGCCCAAAUAUACACAUAUACAUACUUUAUA